ncrna:unclassified sequences Actinomyces-1 RNA
GGCACCGCCGGACAGGGACGGUCUCGAGGGUUGGGGAGCCCAGUGACAGGCCGCAUCUCUGAGACGGUGUCGGGUCAUAGGGAGCCCGGCGCAGUCGCUCUGGCGAAGGAG